UAGUUCUAGAUGAAGCCCUAUGGCAGUACAAAAUGUGAAUGAUGAUAACAAGUUUCACAAAAUGUGGACUCUCCAAAUAAAAAAAAUUGUUCAUGAUCGACUCCAAUGACUUGGCAAUCAUGGAUUGCUCCUAUUAAUGGAAUCCAAUCAAUUAUGUGUAAUAUGCGGAGCUAAAGUGUGCAAUGUUGUCACGAGCGAGGAGCACCCCCUAGAAGUUACCGGCGUCUUCAUCCUCGAAGAGGACUUAGACUAGCCCUUCGCAUUCAUCAUUAAAUAUCAUAGGUCAAAAAUGCGGAAAAUUUAAAACUUUUUACAUUGUGAGGUAUACAUAGACCUCUCGCAUAUCAUAUGUGGAUUUUUCUUAGACUCCUCGCUUAUGAAGCUUACAUAGGCUUCUCGUUUAGACAACAUAACCAAUACAUAAGAAUUUGUCUCAUACUUUGUCUCACAUUAAACCAUCUAAAACGAAGUACAACAUUCGGGUAUAGCCCUUAUACAAGUACAUAUUGCCACAUAUGACUUGCAACAAAUGUCUUCAAGAAUAGGGAAGAAACAAAUGUCUUUAGACAAUAACAAUGCUACUAAGGUAGAACAAAUUGCACCAUCCUCGAACUUGAAGACUCGCAGACAACCUGGAGGAAAAGUCUAAGUCUUCUUGCAAAGUGGCCUAGAAGCUCUUCAAUGGUGGGACCCUACAAUGUUAAGCAAAAAGAAAAGAAAUAUGGGUUAGUACCAACCACAUGUACUAAGUAUGGUUCCUAUGCAUAAAAUCAUCAAUCCAUGAGAAAAAGGCACCGUUUAGUGGAAA